AAAAAACCUAAAAAUGAAAAGGGCGGGUACUGGAAGGGCUGAUCAAAACUGUGAAGGCGAUAAUGGCGACUUCUUCUUCUACACCUUCAGUUCUCUUCACCAAUCCAGUCCCCAAAAUCAUCUCAAAACCCUCUUCUGAAGUUGUGGUUAGGGUUCCUUCCAAAACCUUGAGGUCUCUCCACCUCAACUGCAGGCGAAACCACAACGGUUCCACGAGAUUGAAUGCGGCUGGAUUGUCUGAGAUAGAACCGGAUCUCAACGAAGACAAAAUUGAUCGUUGGCGCACUAAUGGCAUCAGUCCUGAAGAUUUCGUUUAUGGAGAGUACGAUGGGCACCACACUUAUCAUGAGGGCCAUGAAAAAGGAACUUUUUGGGGAGCAGUUGCAGAAGAUUAUGCGGCUGUAGAGCCCCCUACGGGUUUCCAGGGCCUCAUUUCAUGGAUUUUCCCUCCUGCAGUAGCUGUUGGUUAUGCAUACCAUGUCCCGGGGGACUACAUAUUCAUUGGAGCAGCUGUUUUUGUGGUAAUAUUUUGCGCGAUUGAGAUGGGAAAACCAGAUAAACCCCAUAACUUUGAGCCUCAGAUCUACAAUAUGGAGAGGGGAGCUCGUGAUAAAUUAAUCUCUGAUUACAACACAAUGGACAUAUGGGAUUUCAAUGAGAAAUAUGGUGACCUUUGGGAUUUCACUGUGAAGAAAGAUGACAUAGAGAAAAGAUAAACAUUUGGCACAGACAGGCAGCUUGGCUUUAAUUGAAAUAUGAAGAUGAGCAAUGCAAGGACAGAGUUCAGAGAUCCUUUGAUCCUUUCAGAGGGUAGUACAUUCGUAUUGGAUAUAUUACUGAGGCUGUUUCUGCAGAUGGCGGGUGUAUUAGAGCACAGUUUGAUUGAGAUCAUGAUGGUUCUGUUGUUACA